UGCAUUUUCAUUUAGGUAGUGUUUGAUAACUCAUUUAAUAUGGUAGCUAUCCCAAUAGUUCUUUUGUUUGCAUAAAAAUCUGGGAUAUCCACCUUCUGUAUCUCUUCUUGUAUAUCUAUUUUUUCUAGUAUUAUCAUAUCUCUAGUUAAAUCUAUCUUAAUAACUUGUAUUGUAGGUUUAAUUUCUUCAUAUAGUAUUUCUGCUGUUGCUGAGUAGAACUUUA
rnacentral:misc_RNA from 1 species